GGUUGCGUAGUGUAGCGGUUAUCACUCCAGAUUCUGAUGAUUUAAUUCGACACCCAGAAUCUUCUGGCAACCCCGGUUCGAUUCCGGGCGCGACCU